rnacentral:rRNA from 1 species
AUUGAACGCUGGCGGCAUGCCUUACACAUGCAAGUCGAACGGUAACGGGCCUUCGGGUGCCGACGAGUGGCGAACGGGUGAGUAAUACAUCGGAACGUGCCCGAUCGUGGGGGAUAACGAGGCGAAAGCUUUGCUAAUACCGCAUACGAUCUACGGAUGAAAGCAGGGGACCGCAAGGCCUUGCGCGGACGGAGCGGCCGAUGGCAGAUUAGGUAGUUGGUGGGAUAAAAGCUUACCAAGCCGACGAUCUGUAGCUGGUCUGAGAGGAUGAUCAGCCACACUGGGACUGAGACACGGCCCAGACUCCUACGGGAGGCAGCAGUGGGGAAUUUUGGACAAAGGGCGCAAGCCUGAUCCAGCCAUGCCGCGUGCAGGAUGAAGGCCUUCGGGUUGUAAACUGCUUUUGUACGGAACGAAAAGCCUUCUUUUAAUACAGGAGGGUCAUGACGGUACCGUAAGAAUAAGCACUGGCUAACUACGUG